CCGCCCUGGGUUAGUCGGGACCUAAGCUGAGGCCGAAAGGCGUAGGUGAUGGACAACAGGUUGAUAUUCCUGUACUACCGAUAACCGUUUGAGAGAAGGGAUGACACAGUAGGAUAAGCUAAGCACACUGUUGGUUAUGUGUGCCCAAGCAUUGAGGCAGUCAAAGUAGGCAAAUCCGCUUUGAUAAUGCUGGGAUGUGAUGA
rnacentral:rRNA from 1 species